UAUGCUUACCAGGGUACUGUUAGUUAAGGUCUUUAAACCCAAAGAAUUUGGCGGUAUCUCAUUCCAUUCAGAGGAACCUACCCCGUGAUUGAUAAUACACGAUUAACUUUACUUAAUUUAUUUGUUUGUAUAUCUCCGUUAUCAGAAUAUCUUUUUAGAGUUAUAAUUUUCUUAAUUUUUAAUUGAAUAGUAUUUCAGGUCAAGGUGCAGCUUAUGGUUAAGAGGAGGUGGGUUACAAUAAGUUCAUAUUUAUUACGGAUUUGAUGGUGAAAUACUGUUAAUGAAGGUGGAUUUGAUAGUAAUUUAAUUUAUUUAAUUUAAUUGAUAUUGGCUCUGAGGUGUGUACACAUCGCCCGUCGCUCUCAUUAUUGAUCAUUCUGCUUAAGAUUUUUUUUAAGGUAGUUUCAUGUUAGAUUAGAUAAGUCGUAACAUAGUAGAUGUACUGGAAAGUGUAUCUAGGAAGAGUUUCAAGACAUAACUUAUUAGUAAAGUAUUUCAUUUACACUGAAAAUUUUUCUGUGCAAUUCAGGAUGUUUUGAUUAUUUAUUUUAUUAUUAUGAUUUUUUGUUUAUUUUAAAAUUUAAUAGAAAUAAUU
rnacentral:rRNA from 1 species